rnacentral:rRNA from 1 species
UGGGGAAUAUUGGGCAAUGGGCGCAAGCCUGACCCAGCAACGCCGCGUGAAGGAAGAAGGCUUUCGGGUUGUAAACUUCUUUUCUCAGGGACGAAGCAAGUGACGGUACCUGAGGAAUAAGCCACGGCUAACUACGUGCCAGCAGCCGCGGUAAUACGUAGGUGGCAAGCGUUAUCCGGAUUUACUGGGUGUAAAGGGCGUGUAGGCGGGAAAGCAAGUCAGAUGUGAAAACCAUGGGCUCAACCCAUGGCCUGCAUUUGAAACUGUUUUCUUGAGUACUGGAGAGGCAGACGGAAUUCCUAGUGUAGCGGUGAAAUGCGUAGAUAUUAGGAGGAACACCAGUGGCGAAGGCGGUCUGCUGGACAGCAACUGACGCUGAGGCGCGAAAGCGUGGGGAGCAAACAGGAUUAGAUACC